AGAUCCGUGUACGCUAACAUCUGUUCAAUGAUCGGAGGUUUUUGGGAUCUAUUAAUCCCUUGGGAUUACUCUGGCUAGGAUCAAACACCCGCUAGCAACAACCAUGGGGACAGGGAGGGUCAAUGAACGGUAGAACAGCGCGUCCAAAUGAGGGACACAAUGUGUGAAUUAGCAGGGGGAAUUCUUCUUCUCAAAGUAUCAAUAAAAUGGCGCGCAUUGAUCAAAUAUGAUAUUUAUACGUGUGAAAAGGUAAUUCGUGGACGUCUUGAGGGAGCUCUUUGCUAGUUUAACAGCUCCUAAACAAGUUUCAUUGACUGUGAGUUAUACUCGGAGCCCUUCAGGUCUUGUGUUUGCUUUGGAUUAUUAACGCACGAGGACAUCCGAAUACCUUGACCGCCGUUUACCUAACUAAAUAAUCCUCAUACAAUAAUCUUGUCAACACCUAUGUUUUCAAAACUGCGUUCGAUCAAGUUUCAUACAGUCUCUAUGAAGCGCAUUUCUAUAGUGUAUAUUGACAACAGGUAGCUACAUGUACAUGUAUAAGGAGGAUAUUUAUAUUGUGUGAUAAUUAAAAUAAAAUCUUAAGAAUUGGAUAAAUC
rnacentral:sRNA from 1 species